rnacentral:rRNA from 1 species
GACGAACGCUGGCGGCGUGCCUAAUACAUGCAAGUAGAACGCUGAAGAGAGGAGCUUGCUCUUCUUGGAUGGGUUGCGAACGGGUGAGUAACGCGUAGGUAACCUGCCUUGUAGCGGGGGAUAACUAUUGGAAACGAUAACUAAUACCGCAUAACAAUGGAUGACACAUGUCAUUUAUUUGAAAGGGGCAAUUGCUCCACUACAAGAUGGACCUGCGUUGUAUUAGCUAGUAGGUGAGGUAAUGGCUCACCUAGGCGACGAUACAUAGCCGACCUGAGAGGGUGAUCGGCCACACUGGGACUGAGACACGGCCCAGACUCCUACGGGAGGCAGCAGUAGGGAAUCUUCGGCAAUGGGGGCAACCCUGACCGAGCAACGCCGCGUGAGUGAAGAAGGUUUUCGGAUCGUAAAGCUCUGUUGUAAGUCAAGAACGGGUGUGAGAGUGGAAAGUUCACACUGUGACGGUAGCUUACCAGAAAGGGACGGCUAACUACGUG